UCCAUGCCGUAAACGUUGUAUACUAGAUGUGGGGGGAUUAAGCCCCCUCCGUGUCCAAGCUAACGCGAUAAGUAUACCGCCUGGGGACUACGGCCGCAAGGCUAAAACUCAAAGGAAUUGACGGGGACCCGCACAAGCGGUGGAGCAUGUGGCUUAAUUCGAGGCAACGCGAAGAACCUUACCUGGGUUUGACAUGUUUAGGACCGCCCCAGAGAUGGGGCUUCCCUUCGGGGCCUUUUCACAGGUGCUGCAUGGCUGUCGUCAGCUCGUGUCGUGAGAUGUUCGGUUAAGUCCGGCAAUGAGCGCAACCCAUGUCGUUAGUUGCAAAC
rnacentral:rRNA from 1 species